rnacentral:rRNA from 1 species
AGAAUCAACGCUGGCGGCGUGCCUCAGACAUGCAAGUCGAACGAUUAAACUUUCCUUCGGGAAAGAUAUAAAGUGGCGCACGGGUGAGUAACACGUAAGUAAUCUACCUUCGAGUGGGGAAUAACAUCGGGAAACCGAUGCUAAUACCGCAUAAUGCAGCGGCAUCGCAAGAUGACAGUUGUUAAAGGAGCAAUCCGCUUGAAGAGGAGCUUGCGGCAGAUUAGCUAGUUGGUAAGGUAACGGCUUACCAAGGCUACGAUCUGUAACCGGUCUAAGAGGACGGUCGGUCACGCUGACACUG